rnacentral:lncRNA from 1 species
CUAAUAUAUAUAGUUUUGAGUGACAAUUACUUUGGAAGUGAAGAACUUGAUGAGAUGAAUUUCAUUAGUUCUGCUACCAAUUGCAGUAAUUUGAAAAUUUUGGAACUUAAUAAUAACAAAUUAAGAGGCUCGUUACCAAAUUCCAUAGGCAAUCUUUCAUCCCAAAUGUUUUUUCUUCAUUUAGGAGCAAAUAUGCUAUUCCAACAUCUUUAUUUAUCCUAGACAAAUUCUUCUAUAACAGUAUUAAUUUUCUUAGAUUAUAGCGGCUUAUGAUUGGGAUGAAUAAAAAAGUGUUUUCUGCAGGAACAUAGAACAUGGUCUCACCUAACACACCACAUUCCCCACAUGAAUCAAAAGUGUGAGGGACUAAAGAGGAAAACCUAUCAAGACAAUUGAGUGUAUUAAAGAUAGACCAUAAUUUUUUUUCUCAUUGAGUUUUGUCUGAAGAUUUGAACAGAGCAUGAAAUAUAAUCUCAUCGGCAUGUACAUUAAUAAAAGUAUAUCUAUACAAUGAAAAUAUAAGUAAUUUUGCAUGAAAUAUGUUAAAGAAAAAAGAUAAACAACUCUAAUAAAAGGGAAUACUAAACAUUUACUACUACCAAGGUUGCAUCAUCCACCUACCAAACAUUUCAAUUACUUAACUUAAACAAUUUUAUCAUUAAUGAACAGAUAUAACAAAAAAAUUUAAAAGAAAAAUAACUACAACAAUUUCAAAAAUAAAUAUCAACUAACAGACUAAAACAAACCUGUAAAGCUUGCAUCUCUAAUUGACCAAAACUUGUCAAUAUGUCAUAACUAUGUGGCAUAUGUUAGGUUUGUAAGAUUCAUGAACGCAAUCAAAUUGCAUAAAAUAAGCAGAAACGUGGAAAAUUAGAGUUUUAAAAAUUUUACAAACCGUA